AGUACCCCUUCGCACGGAGGACGCGAUGGCUCCCAAGAAACGCCCAGAAACCCAGAAGACCUCCGAGAUUGUAUUACGCCCCAGGAACAUGAGGAGCAGGAGUCCCCGGGAGCUGGAGCCCGAGGCCAAGAAGCUCUGUGCGAAGGGCUCCGGUACUGCCUGUGCCUGCUGCUUGAAUAUUUCCGCCUUUUGGGGUGCUCGCGCAGGAGGCUGCAGCGGGGGAUGGGUGCUCCGAGGCUCCCGAGGCCCGCGCAGGUCACGGAUGCCUCCGGCUGUGCAUUCUACCUGCAGGUCCUUUGACACCAGAGUGUUUAGGUUUCAACACCUCUCCCGCUAGGUAACAGGAAGCAGAUGAGCUCCGUAACAACAGACACACGGACUUGUCAGAUUCCUUGUUUGUAUCAGGGUUCUUGCACAGUUAGGACGGUUUCAGAGAAUCCUACCUUUCCUGGCGCUGUGUGUGCUGGAUUUCAUAGUCACGCUUGUUAGCUGCACGUCCUCGGUGGUCAGUUGUGAGAGCCCCCAAUUCCUUCCCUCCUUAGAAAGCUCAUUCUCUGAGGUUUGUUGGGGCUUGAACCUGGGGCUAUAAGGAGUUUCGAGACAUUCAAAAACUGGAGCUGGGGCUUGUUAAUCAAGUGGUUUUUGUCCGUGAGAAGAAAGAAUUGGUUGUCAAGACGUCGGACCUAUAGUGAUUGGGUCCUCAAAUACAGUUUGGUGAUCCGGAGUUGUUGCUUUAUUGCUAUUCUAAUUUCACUUACCUCCGCAGAAGUAACCUAGUUAAGAGCAUUUCCAGGCCUUCCUAUUCCUUCUUUUCCUAAACGGUGACUUCUGCCAUGCUGCCCUAAAAUCUUUUUAUUGUGCAUUAUAUGUGAUUUAUAAAAUUGUGACCCAGUCCCAUCUCGAGUUUUGCAGCCCAAACUGGGAAGAGUUCUGCAGUGUACUUUAUUCUUGUGUGUUUCUUUGGCUGGGGUCUCAGGAACCCUGCACGAUUGUAUUUACUUUCACUUAAGACUUACCGUUUGUGGAAGUGUUUUGGGGAAGGGGCCAAAUCCCCACUCAUUUUUUUAUUUCUGGUGCUCGGUGAGACCACACAGACAUGGAAAGGCCGCAGGAGAUGAUGAGACAGAGAUUAACCAUGCUGAAUGAAACAAGGCUUCCUUUCGGGGAAUUCAGCAGAAAAACCUUUCGUGAGAUUGGAGAGGAAAAUAUGUCUGUUCUGCUUGGCAGGUCCUAGCAGAAGAUGUGACUCAGACUGCCUCUGGGCGGGGCUGGCUGGCCCACAGAUCCUGCCACCAUGCCGCAGCAUCGUCAGGACCCUCCACCAGCAUAAGCUGGGCAGAGCUUCCUGGCCAUCUGUCCAGCAGGGGCUCCAGCAGUCCUUUUUGCACACUCUGGAUUCUUACCGGAUAUUACAAAAGGCUGCCCCCUUUGAUAGGAGGGCUACAUCCUUGGCGUGGCACCCGACUCACCCCAGCACCGUGGCUGUGGGUUCCAAAGGGGGAGAUAUCAUGCUCUGGAAUUUUGGCAUCAAGGACAAACCCACCUUCAUCAAAGGGGCAGCCUGGCAUCCUCGCUACAACCUCAUUGUCGUGGGCCGAUACCCAGACCCUAAUUUCAAAAGCUGUACCCCUUAUGAAUUGAGGACGAUCGAUGUGUUCGAUGGAAACUCAGGGAAGAUGAUGUGUCAGCUCUAUGACCCAGAAUCUUCUGGCAUCAGUUCGCUUAAUGAGUUCAAUCCCAUGGGGGACACGCUGGCCUCUGCAAUGGGUUACCACGUUCUCAUCUGGAGCCAGGAGGAAGCCAGGACACGGAAAUGAGAGACACUAAAGAAGGUGUGGGCCAGACAAGGCCUUGUAGCCCACACAUGGGAUCAAGUCCUGCAAGCAGAGGUGGCGAUUUGUUAAAGUGCCAAAAGUAUCCAAGGCUAGGGUUGGAGCAGGGGUGCUGGGACCUGGGGCACUGUGGGACUGGGACACUUCCGUGUUAAUGCUCUGGACUUGCCUCCAGAGACUGCUCCAGAGUUGGUGACACAGCUGCCCCAAGGGCCCCUCUGUAUCUAGCCUGGAACCAAGGUUAUCUUGGAACUAAAUGACUUUUCUCCUCUCAGUGGGUGGUAGCAGAGGGAUCAAGCAGUUCUUUGAUUUGUGCUCACUUUUGAUAUGGCCAAUAAAACCAUACCGACUG
rnacentral:sRNA from 1 species